rnacentral:rRNA from 1 species
GACGAACGCUGGCGGCGCGCUUAACACAUGCAAGUCGAACGGAAAGGCCCUGCUUUUGUGGGGUGCUCGAGUGGCGAACGGGUGAGUAACACGUGAGUAACCUGCCCUUGACUUUGGGAUAACUUCAGGAAACUGGGGCUAAUACCGGAUAGGAGCUCCUGCUGCAUGGUGGGGGUUGGAAAGUUUCGGCGGUUGGGGAUGGACUCGCGGCUUAUCAGCUUGUUGGUGGGGUAGUGGCUUACCAAGGCUUUGACGGGUAGCCGACCUGAGAGGGUGACCGGCCACAUUGGGACUGAGAUACGGCCCAGACUCCUACGGGAGGCAGCAGUGGGGAAUAUUGCACAAUGGGCGGAAGCCUGAUGCAGCAACGCCGCGUGCGGGAUGACGGCCUUCGGGUUGUAAACCGCUUUCGCCUGUGACGAAGCGUGAGUGACGGUAAUAGGUAAAGAAGCACCGGCUAACUACGUGCCAGCAGCCGCGGUGAUACGUAGGGUGCGAGCGUUGUCCGGAUUUAUUGGGCGUAAAGGGCUCGUAGGUGGUUGAUCGCGUCGGAAGUGUAAUCUUGGGGCUUAACCCUGAGCGUGCUUUCGAUACGGGUUGACUUGAGGAAGGUAGGGGAGAAUGGAAUUCCUGGUGGAGCGGUGGAAUGCGCAGAUAUCAGGAGGAACACCAGUGGCGAAGGCGGUUCUCUGGGCCUUUCCUGACGCUGAGGAGCGAAAGCGUGGGGAGCGAACGGGCUUAGAUACCCUGGUAGUCCACGCUGUAAACGGUGGGUACUAGGUGUGGGGUCCAUUCCACGGGUUCCGUGCCGUAGCUAACGCUUUAAGUACCCCGCCUGGGGAGUACGGCCGCAAGGCUAAAACUCAAAGGAAUUGACGGGGCCCCGCACAAGCGGCGGAGCAUGCGGAUUAAUUCGAUGCAACGCGUAGAACCUUACCUGGGUUUGACAUGGAUCGGGAGUGCUCAGAGAUGGGUGUGCCUCUUUUGGGGUCGGUUCACAGGUGGUGCAUGGCUGUCGUCAGCUCGUGUCGUGAGAUGUUGGGUUAAGUCCCGCAACGAGCGCAACCCUUGUUCACUGUUGCCAGCACGUUAUGGUGGGGACUCAGUGGAGACCGCCGGGGUCAACUCGGAGGAAGGUGGGGAUGAUGUCAAGUCAUCAUGCCCCUUAUGUCCAGGGCUUCACGCAUGCUACAAUGGCUGGUACAGAGAGUGGCGAGCCUGUGAGGGUGAGCGAAUCUCGGAAAGCCGGUCUCAGUUCGGAUUGGGGUCUGCAACUCGACCUCAUGAAGUCGGAGUCGCUAGUAAUCGCAGAUCAGCAACGCUGCGGUGAAUACGUUCCCGGGGCU